ACAUGCAAGUCGAACGAAGUAGCAAUACUUAGUGGCAGACGGGUGAGUAACAUGUAGGUAUCUGCCCUUUGGCCUGGAAUAACACGAGGAAACUUGUGCUAAUACCGGAUAAGUCUUUACGGAGAAAGCUUUAUGCACCAUUGGAUGAGCCUGCACUAGAUUAGUUUGUUGGUGGGGUAAUGGCCUACCAAGACUGUGAUCUAUAGCUGAUUUGAGAGGAUGAUCAGCCACAUUGGGACUGAGACACGGCCCAAACUCCUACGGGAGGCAGCAGUGGGGAAUCUUGCACAAUGGAGGAAACUCUGAUGCAGCGAUGCCGCGUGAGUGAAGAAGGCCUUUGGGUUGUAAAGCUCUUUCGUCGGGGAAGAAAAUGACUGUACCCGAAUAAGAAGGUCCGGCUA
rnacentral:rRNA from 1 species